rnacentral:rRNA from 1 species
AGAUUGAACGCUGGCGGCAGGCCUAACACAUGCAAGUCGAGCGGCAGCACGGGUACUUGUACCUGGUGGCGAGCGGCGGACGGGUGAGUAAUGCCUAGGAAUCUGCCUGGUAGUGGGGGAUAACGCUCGGAAACGGACGCUAAUACCGCAUACGUCCGUACGGGAGAAACGC